CGUUCGGCUUGGGACCCUCUGCCACCCAUAACAGAGGGUCUGGUACACAUACAAGUCCAUGACAAAACACACACGGAACCAGAUGAAGAAAUUACCUUUGAGCCUCAAGAAGAGAAAGACAACCCAAAGGAGAAGCCAAAAAACAGAAAAAGGCUCAAGAAUGUGAGGAUAUCCAUCAACAUAUGCCCGACUCAGAUCAGUCCAAUCACAAAGACAGAAGCAGCACUGAAUCAGACCGAAGAUGAAGCCGUGACUCCAGCAGCCAGAACAAACCCCUCCACAAUCCUCCCACAUUUGACUGACCAUCCCAAGGACCUAAAUGGCCAAGGGAAGCUCAGUCGGGUGGAGUUUGGAAGUGCUGUUGGAGAAACGACAUCCACCUUAAGGUCAGUCUAUGUGGAUUCAUCUUUGGAUUACAGCCCACUUUCACGGGUUAAUUACUACGGUGGACACAUGGAGGGA